UGGGGAAUAUUGGGCAAUGGGCGAAAGCCUGACCCAGCAACGCCGCGUGAAGGAAGAAGGUUUUCGGAUUGUAAACUUCUGUCCUCAGGGAAGAAGGAAGUGACGGUACCUGAGGAGGAAGCCCCGGCUAACUACGUGCCAGCAGCCGCGGUAAUACGUAGGGGGCGAGCGUUGUCCGGAAUGACUGGGGGUAAAGGGCGCGUAGACGGCUGUAUAAGUCUGGAGUGAAAGUCCUGCUUUCAAGGUGGGAAUUGCUUUGGAGACUGGAUGGCUUGAGUGCGGAAGAGGUAAGGGGAAUUCCCAGUGUAGCGGUGAAAUGCGUAGAGAUUGGGAGGAACACCAGUGGCGAAGGCGACUUACUGGGCCGUAACUGACGCUCAUGCACGAAGGCGUGGGGAUCAAACAGG
rnacentral:rRNA from 2 species